AUACGGAGGGUGCAAGCGUUGUUCGGAAUCACUGGGCGUAAAGGGCGCGCAGGCGGUUUGGUAAGUCAGAUGUGAAAGCCCACGGCUCAACCGUGGAAGUGCAUUUGAAACUGUCAGACUUGAGUACUAGAGGGGAAAGUGGAAUUCCCGGUGUAGAGGUGAAAUUCGUAGAUAUCGGGAGGAAUACCGGUGGCGAAGGCGACUUUCUGGCUAGAUACUGACGCUGAGGCGCGAAAGCGUGGGGAGCGAACAGGAUUAGAAACCCCAGUAGUCC
rnacentral:rRNA from 1 species